GGAGAUAUUGGGUGUUUUCAACGCCAGUUUUAAUAAAGUAAGGAAAAAUAGCAAUUAAUGGCGCUAUUAAUCAACUUCCUCAAUGUUUACAGCAUUUACCAGGCAAAACGGAACGUUUUCCAGGGCAAUUUUGGAAACUUAAAGAAGUAUAUCGUUGACUGCAACUUUCAGUUACUCCUAAGAAGAUUUCCAACUUCAGAAACACCAAGAAACAUGAACAAAAAUGUAUUUUAUUAAUUAUUAAUUAAUGCUUAAUAAAAAUGUAAUUUGGUUUUA